GGAGUUAGCCGGUGCUUCUUCUGCGAGUAACGUCACAGAUGUAAGGUAUUAACUUACACCCUUUCCUCCUCGCUGAAAGUGCUUUACAACCCGAAGGCCUUCUUCACACACGCGGCAUGGCUGCAUCAGGGUUUCCCCCAUUGUGCAAUAUUCCCCACUGCUGCCUCCCGUAGGAGUCUGGGCCGUGUCUCAGUCCCAGUGUGGCUGAUCAUCCUCUCAGACCAGCUAGGGAUCGUCGCCUAGGUGAGCCUUUACCUCACCUACUAGCUAAUCCCACCUGGGCUUAUCCAUCAGCGCAAGGCCCGAAGGUCCCCUGCUUUCCCCCGUAGGGCGUAUGCGGUAUUAGCAGUCGUUUCCAACUGUUAUCCCCACAAAUGGGCAAAUUCCCAGGCAUUACUCACCCGUCCGCCGCUCGUCAUCUUCAAAGCAAGCUUUUGAAUGUUACCGCUCGACUUGCAUGUGUUAGGCCUGCCGCCAGCGUUCAAUCUGAGCCAUGAUCAAACUCUGA
rnacentral:rRNA from 1 species